AAACACGCUUCACAAUGUGCGACAAAGAAACAUUGUUUAUGCAAAGGCACUUCGCAAUGUGUGCUCAAACAUUGCUUAUUCAAACACGCUUCACAAUGUGCGACAAAGAAACAUUGU
rnacentral:ncRNA from 1 species